UCCCUAGUAGCUCAGUUGGUUAGAGCAUCUGACUGUUAAUCAGAGGGUCGUAGGUUCAAGUCCUACCUAGGGAG
rnacentral:tRNA from 1 species